UGAUAUCCUAUAUACCCCUGUAGCAAUAUGAAUCGUUGAGCAAUAUGACCCGUUGAAGCGAGCUCUGCGCAUGUGCCGAAGGUCACAGUUCAGAAGACUACGUACAUUGAACGUUCUCUUUGAUCAUUGCAAAUCCCAGAUUAAAAGGUGUCCUGUCUGUCAAAAACAUGAAACAAUUAAGACUCAGGCUCCUGCGAUGACACCAAUCAAGGUUACAGAACCACUGGAGCUUGUGGAGAUGGAUUAUAUGGGUCCUUUGAAGCGCACAAAAGCGGGGAACAGAUAUAUACUGACGAUGAUUGACAGCUUCACAAAGUUUGUUGAGCUGUAUCCAAUGCAAUCAAAGCUGCCAUCUGAAGUGUGUCGAAAAAUAUUGUCAUUCGUAAGAAGGUACGGGGCACCAAAACGCAUCCUGUCGGAUAGAGGAGAAUAAUUUGUAAAUAAGGCUAAUAUGGAGCUGUGCCGGAGGUUGAACAUCAAAAGAAGUGUGUCAUCGGCAUACCACCCCCAAACUAAUGGUCUUGUGGAGCGUAUGAAUAAAACUGUCAAGACCCGUUGUUCGAAAAUGGUGGAACAGCACAAUUGUGAAUGGGAUGAAGUAGUGAAAGAUGUUGCUUUUACAAUUAGAUGCCAGAAACAAAAAUCAACAAAAUAUUCACCAUUCUUUCUGAUGUUUGGGCAACAACCUAGAUACAUAUUCGAUAUGGAAGAAGCAGACAAAGACACAGGUGUGGUAUUAAUCCCCAGUGGAGAUGAGGAGCCAGAAGAUGAUGAAGAACCUUUAUUGGACACGAUAUCUGCAAAAAAUGAUGACUCCAAAAUGGAAGAGGACGACUCAGUACCCCAACUAUUUACCAAAAAAUUGCUUCUGGCUGCAGCAUGUAACCAGGAGCAAGUCAACCAAUGUUCUGAAAGGAAUGAGCUGACAAAAAUUGUGUUUUCACAGGUCCUGGAAAACCAAGAACAAGCAAGUCAGAAACAGAGGAAGGCCUAUGCACAGCGGACUUCAAAGGGGAUAAAAACCUUUGACUUGAAGGUUGGGGAUCUUGUGCUGAGACAAAAUGUCAGAAACAAAGGAAGAUAUGGUGAUGCUUUGGACAAACCUUGGAUUGGCCCUUUCAGGUAUCAAAUCAAAUCAAAUCAGACUUUAUUGUCUGUCAAGGAGACCCAAGACAGAAAUUUUUCUUUUGCUCACAAGGGCAGGCAUACAUACUGUUAUAUAUGUCAUGUUAUAUAUAUCACUGUUAUUUAGGUGCAAACUACAUCUUUGUAUACAUCUUUAUGCAUACAUACCUGGAAAUAAAAGUGGUUGGCUACAGCUAAAAAACUUUGAGCACUAUUUGGGUUCUUGGCAGCUAACAGGUACUUCUCUUUUGUAAUUGUUUCAUUUAUGGAUUUUCUUUUACUGCUACCAAGAACGAUUUAGCAGUUCUUUUUCAGCGUAUAUCGCUGCCUUUCUUUUAUAUCUUUUGAGGUGUACUGUUGUCUAAAAAGCUUGUUUUACGACAGAGGAAGCGUCUGCCCUAUGUACUAUCUUUUUAUUUUGUAUUCUCCGCAAGCAUCUAUUGUCUGCUUUCGUACAAAAUAACAUGUUAUAUAUAAUGGAAAAUAUUAUAAUAUACAUCGUUUUACCAUCUCUAUGGACGUAGAUAUUCGUGAUAUCUCCCUCUCUUAUUGGAAAACUAACCGUGAGUUCGGCUCCCACACAAUUAUGACAAUUCAUCCGUAAACUUGUGUAUUUUCAUGCAUGAAACCAUUAUUCCAAAAUUUUCAGUUUUUAAUGACUGCCAGUAUAAGCUACAAUUUUCGUAUCGUCUUAUCAUUCAUGGAUGUGUACUUCGCACACACUCAACUUUCAAGAAACAAAAUGUUUUUCCUAACCUCA